GUUGAUCUAAGCUCUUAAUGUAUAUCAUUCUGUAAAUGAAUGUAUAAAAAAAAGAUCAAACUUGUUAGGUUGAUCUUGAGAUGUAAUAGAUAGGCUUCGAAGAGAUCGUAGUGUAUCAAACUGAUCAAGAUUACAGAAGUCAAGGAAGAGCGUAGAGCUUCGAGGAUCGUAGUAUGCCUGCCUUAAGGGCCUCUUCGAAAAACGUAGAGUGGUCCCAACGUUUGCCGAGCCAACUCAGAAAUCGUAGUGUGCUCUCAAAAACGUAGAGCUUGCAAACAAGCAAGUAAAGAUCGUAGUGUGCAAGUCUUUAAGAGAAAUCGUAGUGCUUUUGUUUGAUGAAAUCAGACCUAGCACCAAGGUAACAAGACACCACGAUCUGGAUCGUAGAGUAUCAUUUGACGUGUGUCAGAAGCAUCGAACCCUACCUUUUUGUUUGAUGAUAUAUCUCUAAUAAAUAUGGAAUGGGUUUCAAAUGUUGAAGUCCUCACCAGUUCCAACGGUACAAAAGAUAUCCUUAGUAUGCAACAAAGAAGCGUAUUGAAGAAGCUAAGAAAAGUACCAUUGGUAAAAGGAAAAUACCUUUUCAGGUGUUAGGUGAGAAAGCAGUCUGCUGUGUCAGUGGGCCAGAAUGCAAUUCAGAAGAUGUGCAGAAAAAUCUCCAUCAAAGUACAGAAAUAUCAAACGCAUUUAAUGCUUCAACGGAUGGAUCAAACGGAUAGAUUUCAAGAUCACAUAUAUGCAAAACUUAUGCAGAUGCAAGGAUCAAGCAAGCAUUGAAUAAAACGCACAAGAACACUCAACGCUCAACUCUACGAUCUCAGAAAAAGAAAAGUUUGCUCAGCUACUCAGUUCUCUCGAAUAAGUGCUUAACAGCAACUGAGUAGCUACCAUCAAGAACUCAACAACUACCAAUCAACUGAAGUAAGAGUUCCAAGUCAGAAGGACUUGAAGAGUUCUAAGUGAACUAUAAAGAGCCAAGUCUGUUGGACUUGACGAGUUCAAGAGUGAACUAAGAAGUUCCUAGACUGCUGGUCCAGAAGGAAU
rnacentral:lncRNA from 1 species